CCUGCCCCUAGAGGUGUUACAGGUGUGGCCUCUGUGUCACAUGUGCAUCAGUAGGUGGCAAAGAAAAAAAAGAGAUUAUGUCUGUGCUCAGUGUUCUGAUCCAUGAACAUCUAAAAUGAUUAGUAGCCAGCCUAAC
ensembl:snoRNA Gm24281 predicted gene, 24281